rnacentral:rRNA from 1 species
UGAGGAAUAUUUGCACAAUGGAGGGAAAACUCUGAUGCAGCAACGCCGCGUGGAGGAUGACGCAUUUCGGUGUGUAAACUCCUUUUAUGAGUCAAGAAAAUGACGGUAGCUCAUGAAUAAGCACCGGCUAACUCCGUGCCAGCAGCCGCGGUAAUACGGAGGGUGCAAGCGUUAUUCGGAAUCACUGGGCGUAAAGGACGCGUAGGCGGGAAGCCAAGUCUGAUGUGAAAUCCUAUGGCUUAACCAUAGAACUGCAUUGGAAACUGGUUACCUAGAGUAUGGGAGGGGGAGAUGGAAUUAGUGGUGUAGGGGUAAAAUCCGUAGAUAUCACUAGGAAUACCGAAAGCGAAGGCGAUCUCCUGGAACAAUACUGACGCUAAGGCGUGAAAGCGUGGGGAGCAAACG